ensembl:lncRNA
CAGGGGCUAGGUGAGAGUAGGGGGUAGUGGUAGGGUGUAGUCAGGGGCUAGGUGAGAGUAGGGGGUAGCGGUAGGGUGUUGUCAGGGGCUAGGUGAGAGUAGGGGGUAGCGGUAGGGUGUAGUCAGGGGCUAGGUGAGAGUAGGGGGGUAGCGGUAGGGUGUUGUCAGGGGCUAGGUGAGAGUAGGGGGUAGCGGUAGGGUGUAGUCAGGGGCUAGGUGAGAGUAGGGGGUAGCGGUAGGGUGUGGUCAGGGGCUAGGUGAGAGUAGGGGGUAGCGGUAGGGUGUUGUCAGGGGCUAGGUGAGAGUAGGGGUAGCGGUAGGAUGUUGUCAGGGGCUAGGUGAGAGUAGGGGGUAGCGGUAGGGUGUUGUCAGGGGCUAGGUGAGAGUAGGGGGUAGCGGUAGGGUGUAGUCAGGGGCUAGGUGAGAGUAGGGGGUAGCGGUAGGGUGUUGUCUGACUCCGCCAGAUCUAGCGAAGCAACUGAAAGCACCAAUCCAACAAGGUCACAUGAUCCUGCUAUAGAAACCAAAGCAGAACAAGUUGUCAAGUAACUUCGAACCAGAGCCAUACACCG